rnacentral:lncRNA from 10 species
GCCGGGUGUGGUGGCACAUGCCUGUAAUCCCAGCUACCUGGGAAGCUGAGGCAGGAGAAUUGCUUGAAUCUGGGAGGCGGAGGUUGCAGUGAGUCGACAUCAUGCCACUGCCCUCCAGCCUGGGCGAUAGAGCAAGACUCUGUCUCAAAAAAAAUCUUAACUCUUUUUUUUUUUUCUUUUUCAAGGUGGAGUCUCUUAACUCUCUCGCCCAGGCUGGAGUGCAGUAGCGCCAUCUUGCCUUGCUGCAACCUUCUGCCUCCCAGGUUCAAGCAACUCUCCUGC